rnacentral:rRNA from 1 species
CUCUUGAAGCGGCGGAGGGUGAGUAUGCCUAGGAAUCUGCCUGGUAGUGGGGGAUAACGUUCGGAAACGGACGCUAAUACCGCAUACGUCCUACGGGAGAAAGCAGGGGACCUUCGGGCCUUGCGCUAUCAGAUGAGCCUAGGUCGGAUUAGCUAGUUGGUGAGGUAAUGGCUCACCAAGGCGACGAUCCGUAACUGGUCUGAGAGGAUGAUCAGUCACACUGGAACUGAGACACGGUCCAGACUCCUACGGGAGGCAGCAGUGGGGAAUAUUGGACAAUGGGCGAAAGCCUGAUCCAGCCAUGCCGCGUGUGUGAAGAAGGUCUUCGGAUUGUAAACACUUUAAGUUGGGAGGAAGGGCAGUUACCUAAUACGUGAUUGUUUUGACGUUACCGACAGAAAUAACACCGGCUAACUCUGUGCCACCAGC